GGUCGAAGUCCUGGCCGUGGAUGAUCCGCAUCUGCUUCAGGAAGGUGGACUUGCCGCUCUCGCCCGCGCCCAGCAGCAGGAUCUUCACCAGCCGCUUCACUUACUCGCCCGCCGCUUGCUGUCACCUUCACGCGACCUAUUUUGAGACCAUUGGCUGGGACAUCCCCGCACCCGACCAGUGCAAGCCUUCCUUCGUUACAGUUUGCCUUGUUUUGUUUUGUUUUGUUUUAACUCUUGAGACAAGAUCCCUGCGGCCCAAGUUGGCUUAAAUUUGUGACAAUCGUCUUGCUUCAGCCUCCCUGUCCGUUUCUGGUAUUACCGGCAGGCAAGAGCUUUCCUUCAAGAUCGUGCGUUUAAUUAGCAGCGACCCUUCCCCGCCCCCUUGUCAUCCUAACCAUCCCGAAUCUGGAAGGAUAAGUAGAUGUCAGAUGUCGUUAUUGAUCAACACCUCACCCUAGCAGCUCAGGGCACUAUUGAUAACCUGCCCUGGUUUGAGGGGAAGUUGGAGUUGAUGUUCUCGUGAGAUGUGCCAGGAAGGUCGCUGGCGGCUGGCUCACUCAUUAGAUUCCCAUCCGAGCUGCACUUGUGACUUGGGUAAUGCCUUCUGAGAUCAGGCCAGAACACCUGAAAAAGAGACUCCUGGGGAACACGUGACUAGUGACAGCUGAAUGACUGUAGCAAGGACCUCAGAAGCCAACUUCUUCAUUCUUGUCAGUUUCAAAGUUGAUGCCUGUCUGGUUUUGCUCCUGGGACCUGACUCGUGUGCAACUUGGGAACUUCCUGUGUGUUAGGGAGUUGGGGUAAAGAGGUCAACACCGUGACAUGCACAAGUUUAAAAUUUUAAAAACCA
rnacentral:lncRNA from 1 species